rnacentral:rRNA from 1 species
UACAGAGGGUGCAAGCGUUGUCCGGAAUCACUGGGCGUAAAGGGCGCGUAGGUGGCGCGACAAGUCAGUGGUGAAAGCUCGGCGCUCAACGCCGAGUCGGCCACUGAUACUGUUGGGCUUGAGCACUGUAGAGGCAGAUGGAAUUCCUGGUGUAGCGGUGAAAUGCGCAGAUAUCAGGAGGAACACCGGUGGCGAAGGCGGGUCUCUGGGCCGAUACUGACGCUGAGGAGCGAAAGCGUGGGGGAGCAAACAGG